GUGCCUCUUCGGCAGCACGUGCACUAAAAUUGGGACGAUGCAGAGAUCAGCAUGGCCCCUGCGCAGGGGUGACACCCACAUCCCUGGAGCGCUCCGUGUUCUU